rnacentral:tRNA from 1 species
GGCACUAUGGCCGAGUGGUUAAGGCGACAGAUUCGAAAUCUGUUUCGCGUUGCGAGCGCAGGUUCAAGUCCUGCUGGUGUCG